AUGGCGACACCCUCACAACCCCGGCUGUUGCCAUUGCUAACUCUGAAGUUCCUGCUACUCGCCGCGGCAGCAACUCUGUCUCUGUGGCAGGGUGGUGCCUGCGCUGAAGAGCAGCACCGGCUCAUCACGCUUGAGGGUUGCCAGGCCAUGUGCGGCAACAUCAGCGUCCCCUUCCCGUUCGGCAUGAAUCCAGGCUGCUUCGUCGAGGGCUUCCAGGUCACCUGCAACAACUCGUUCGACCCCCCUCGUCUCUUCCUUUACUACAACCGGACAGGACCGCGAACCUCAUUCAGCGAGAUGGGCGAGGCGGCGUACUCGACGCCGACGCCGGUCACGUCGGACCCGGCGCUGGAGAAGAGGUGGGAAGUGCCCGUGGAGCUCAUGGACAUAUCGGUCGCCAAGAGCGAGGCACGGGCUUACGGACUGGUGAGAUCCGACUGCAGCACGACUGCGCGCAACCACUUGCUCAAGCUUCAGUUUACGUGGUUAUAUCAGCCAUUCUACCUGUCAGAGAAGCGCAAUUUUCUCGUCGGUGUUGGCAGGGGCGUCAAAGCUAGGAUGAGCGACUACUUGCUGGGCUCCGCAAGCCCUGAUACGACAUGCUAUUCAAGCAUCGGACCUACCUGCGAGGACGCCUUUCCAAAAGGAAGCAUCCUCAACAGAUUUGGUGUGACGUUUCAGCCAGAUAAUAACACGUUUUGGGAAAGUUCACCCUGCCUCUACGGCAUGGUGGUGGAGAGCUCAUGGUACAACUUCUCUGAUGAGGACAUGCACGGCUACGAGGUGCUAUCCAACAAGUACUCGAGGGGCGUCCCCAUGGUGCUCGAUUUUGCCUUUAGGGACGGUUCAUGUCCGGGUGCGGACGGCUCUGUCCGUCCAGGCUACAGGUGCGUCAACGGCAACAGCUCCUGUGUCAAUGCAACCAGUGCCGAAGGCUAUUUCUGCAAGUGCUGGGAACAUUACGAUGGCAACCCUUAUGUUCCUAAUGGAUGCCAAGACAUCAACGAGUGCGAGCUCCGAGAACAAAAUCCUGAUCUCCGUGAUUUGUAUCCUUGCGACGGGAUCUGUAAGAACAGGCUGGGAGGCUAUGACUGUCGAUGCAAACCCGGAAUGAAAGGGGACGCCAUAAAAGGAACCUGCACGGAGAAACUCACCCUAGCAGCAAAAGUGACUGUGGGUAUUGCUGCCAUGAUUGUUGUCUUGGUCCUCAUGGUUAUGGUCCAUCAGCUACUAAAAUUUAGAAGGUUCUAUGAACAAAAUGGUGGUCCGGUACUAAAAGGUGUAAAGAAUAUAAGGAUCUAUACAAGGAAACAAAUUAAACAAAUGACAAAUAACUACAGGUGUGUAAUUGGAGAGGGCCACUUUGGUAAGGUUUAUCUUGGGACUCUCAAAGACAAAAAACAAGUUGCUAUAAAGAAGUCCAUCAAGGUUGACAAGCACAUGAAGCAGGAGUUCACCGAUGAGAUUAUAAUCCAAUCUGCAAUGAGGCACAAGAACAUUGUUAUGCUCAUAGGCUGCUGCUUAGAGCUGGAUGUUCCCAUGCUGGUGUAUGAGUUUGUAGCGAGAGGGAGUCUGUAUGAUGUUCUCUUCAAGUGCAGAGAUAAGAUUCUACUGGGUACACGAUUGCGGAUUGCCGUUGGAUCAGCCGAAGGCUUAACAUACAUGCAUUCAGCAGGGGAGAGUACAAUCCGUCAUGGUGAUGUUAAAUCUGCCAACAUCCUUCUGGAUGAAAAGUUCACCCCCAAAGUUUCAGACUUUGGGACAUCAAAGCUACUCGCGAGAGGAAAAGACGAGAUGACAGAACUUGUCAUUGGGGACAUGAGCUACAUAGAUCCAGUAUAUAUGGAACAAGGGAUCGUCACACAGAAGAGCGAUGUCUAUGGCUUCGGAGUUGUCCUCAUAGAGCUUAUCACAAGGAGGCCUGCAACAUAUGAUGCUGAGCGGAGCUAUGUUGCAAACUUUGUUGAAGCUUUUGUAGAAAAAAGAGCAAGAAGCUUUAUUGACAAUGAUAUUAAAAGCGAGGCGGAUAUCAAUCUAUUGGAAAUGGUUGGCGGAGUCGCAGUAGAUUGUCUAAAACCCAAUCCAGAAGAACGACAAGAUAUGAAACGAGUAGAGCACCGCCUCCUCGAGAUUGUUGCACAAUCUGAAGAUUAUAGUCAUGAGAGGAACUUCCAGGGAGGUAUUGGUCCGGCACCGGAUGAUGUUGCUUUGCUUAAAGCCUUGGGAGAGUGA
rnacentral:rRNA from 1 species